AGAAUUUGAAGAUCUUCAUCAGAAAUGCAAAACAGACCUCGAGCAAAAAGUUUCAAAAAUGGAGGAACUCCACAAGAAAACCAGAGAAUUAGGUGAGCUUGCUGUUAAACUCAGAAACAUAUCACGAUGUUGGGAAGAUGCUGGAGUCAAUUAUAUGAAAUAGCGAUACAUUUGGAUAGCAAUUGCAGGAUCGGUCCGAGUCAGCAUGGAUUUACGAAGGGGAAAUCAUGCUUGACUAAUCUUCUGGAAUUUUUUGAAGAUGUAACUAGGAAAUUGGACAAGGGAGAGCCAGUGGAUGAAGUGUGCCUGGACUUUCAGAAAGCAUUUGAUAAGGUCCCACAUAGGAGAUUAGUGGG